rnacentral:rRNA from 1 species
UGGGGAAUAUUGGACAAUGGGGGGAACCCUGAUCCAGCCAUGCCGCGAGUGUGAAGAAGGCCUUAUGGUUGUAAAGCACUUUAAGCGAGGAGGAGGGUACUGGUAUUAAUACUACCAGGUACUGGACGUUACUCGCAGAAUAAGCACCGGCUAACUCUGUGCCAGCAGCCGCGGUAAUACAGAGGGUGCAAGCGUUAAUCGGAAUUACUGGGCGUAAAGCGCGCGUAGGUGGUUCGUUAAGUUGAAUGUGAAAGCCCCGGGCUCAACCUGGGAACUGCAUCCAAAACUGGCGAGCUAGAGUAGGGCAGAGGGUGGUGGAAUUUCCUGUGUAGCGGUGAAAUGCGUAGAUAUAGGAAGGAACACCAGUGGCGAAGGCGACCACCUGGGCUCAUACUGACACUGAGGUGCGAAAGCGUGGGGAGCAAACAGG